GCAUACUGUAUGUACAGCCGGCAAGGUUUCACCACAGAUCUCGCGUGGCAACGGCUCGGCGAUCAGAAACACUCUGACAUCUCUUCAGAUGACACGUGGGCCUCCACUUCACGAUCGGAAGCUUAUUUUAACGGGAAAUCCGACUUAAUCCCCACCGAUUGGCUUUUGAUUUGUUUAAACGUGAGUUUUUCGAACUGGACACAAAAACACGACGCGGCGCGGGGAGCGCGAGAAAGACACGUGUCCGGGCAGUGAGUGAGUGGGUGAGUGGGAGCGCCGCCCUUCUUCGCUGGGCAUCAAGUGUCUCUCUGCGGAUCCUACUGUACUGUACUGUAUGUGUGCAUGUUUUACACUCAUCUAGGGUUAUUUAAUCCACCGUUUGUUUUUAAAAACAAUUUUUGCUUCAUCAUUCCGCCGUUCGAGCUCCGUGGCCCGUUUUCUGCCCUUUCUGCUGUACCGUGAAGCUGCGAAGAGGGAAGCGGUGUCUUCAAUUAUGUAUCCAGUCCCUUGGAGCACAUGUUAUUGCGACAUCAGAAGAAAGUUUCUGUAUUUCGGCUCUGCUGGGCCUGCACCGGUGCGAGUCCCUCCAGACCAGGCGGUGCCUUAACUACUUACGUGGUAAACGGGUCAAGCAGCGCAGCCAUGAGACAGAAGAGCCGCGUGGCUCCCGACCGGGCAGAAGCUCCGGUGGCACAUGAGGAGGAGGAGGACAGCUGCCGCUUCAGAGAGGGGUUCCUGUCAGAACAAACAGGACGAGCGAGAGGUAGCAGAACAACUGACACACACGCUUCCAGACAUGUCAUUUCCCUGGAUGUGCUUCGUGUUAAAAGGCAGGGGCAGCUGAGCGUAUAGCGGUUAGGGUUGCCGCCUUCAGGUCCUCAAGGUCACAGGUUCAAAUCCCACCUCCAGCUGUCAUGCCCCUGAACAAGGUACUUAACCUGAACUGCUCCAGUAAAACUUCCGAGCCGUAUGAACGGGUGACUAAUAGUAAGUUGCUUUAGAGAAAAGUGUCUGCUAGAUGAAUAAAUGUAAAAGGUGUUGAUCCUUGCA
rnacentral:lncRNA from 1 species